AGAGCGCGCCAGCUCACUGCUCAAGGUGCUGCUAGGAUUCCAAACCAGCAAUCUGCUUAGAAGCGUUCAAAUUAAACAUUCUCUACACCGUGCAGCAGCUGAUUCAAUUACAACAGUGCUCGCCGGCCGACUCGGACUUGCUUACCAACACUCUCGAUGUUUCUUUGUUUUCUUACAUCGCUCAGCGAGUGACUGACUCAAUCUGUCUUUCUCUCCUACGUUCGUGUUUUUUUUGUUUGUUUGUUAAUAAAGUAUUUUUUAUUUUUUUAUUAUUUUUAAAAGAAGGACGCAAUUCUAUAUGACGGGAAGCUCCUGAAGCAGGCAUGUGUACGAAGAGAGAUUACCGGCUUACGAUGCAUGCUGUGCUGUUGAUUCUGGGUUGCCUACAAACCUGGGUUUACGGUCAAGGCUUCAACUAUGAAGACAUUAACUCUGUGGGAAGCAAGACCGUCGGUAUGGUGGAGUCGAACAUCGGGCACAAGUCAGUAUCAACGACAAGUGACCCGGAAGAGGAAGUGCGGCUUGUCACCACAGCCCCUCCCAUCAGCUUCCACAACCACCACCCGCUGCUCGAGGAGUUCAUUCACGAGACCCUGCUGAAGAGAGACUUCCUGGGGCAGGAGCAUUUCUUCAGUGCUGGGGUGGAGACCUCAAACCCGACGACGAACCAGGUGACGAGCGAUGACCCCCCGGUGUUCUCUGACAUCGUCACGACAACCUCCAUGGCGACCCCGUCGCCCAUGAUGACCGCGCCAACCACGGCUGAGGCUGCGGCAGUUUCCGUGGCUCAAAAUGUUGCCGUGAAAGAGGAAGUGGGAACUCCGGAGAUGGAGAUGGAGAAGGAGAGGGUAGCUGUUACCACAGACUCUUUAACCACGGCAGUCAUAAAGACGACCACCCCCGACCACCAGGGCGGCGUAUUUCAAAACAGCCACCAGCCAGUCUUUACUACCCAGCCGACCCCUGUGCUCACAACAAGCCCGGCAGAGCCCAAUCCAGAGCAGGUAUCCAUGGUGACCAGCAACACACCAACAGCCCUGGCGGGGACCACCAGAACAGAGGUGCAAGAGCCAAUCACUGAGCGAGGCGCCGGGACAGCCAGUGAGGUCACAACAAUGACAUCAUCAUCGGGAGACACUGACGAGGAGACAACCACCACCACUAUCAUCACUACCACCAUCAUAACCACCGUGCAGACACCAGUUCCGUGCAGUUCCAAUUUCACAGGCCCCGAGGGCUACAUUGAGUCCCCACGAUACUCCAGUCUCCUGUACUACACCAAUCUGGACUGCAGCUACGCUGUAACUGUCUUCAUGGGAUAUGGAGUGGAAAUUCAGGUCCUGAACGUGAGCUUGCUGGAAGGGGAGACGGUCACUCUGGAGGACCUGGGAGGGCAGGAGCCGGCCGUCCUGGCCAACGAGUCCAUCCUGAUGAAGGGGCUAGUGGUGCGGAGCUGGAGCAACCAAGUGGCAGUCCGCUUCCAGAGCUUCCAGCUCCCCCACGCUGGGUCCUUUCACUUUCAAUACCAAGCGUACAUGCUGAGCUGUGGAUUUCCCCAGAGACCGGCCUACGGGGAUGUGACGGUCAGCAGCCUCCACCCUGGAGGAGAGGCCUAUUUCUACUGUUACACAGGCUACCAGCUCCAGGGCAAGUCCACACUCACCUGCCUCAACGCUACCACCCCCCUCUGGAGUGGCAAGGAACCGCAGUGUCUGGCUGCCUGCGGAGGAGUCAUCAGGAACGCGACGGUGGGCCGGAUUGUGUCUCCUGGCUUCCCCGGGAACUACAGCAACAAUCUGACCUGCCACUGGGUGAUUGAGGCUCCGGACGGAGAGAGACUGCACAUCCACUUUGAGAAGGUCGCCCUUGCAGAGGAUGAUGACAGACUCUUAAUCAAAAACGGGGACAACAUCGACUCUCCUCCGGUUUACGACUCCUAUGAAGUGGAAUACCUGCCUAUCGAGGGGCUGGUGAGCGGAGAGAGACACUUCUUCAUAGAGCUCACUACCGACGGCUCUGUAGCCUCCACCGGCGUGGCUCUGAGAUACGAAGCCUUCGCACCGGGGCACUGCUACGAGCCCUUUGUGAAGUACGGGAACUACUCCACGAGCGACGCUGCGUAUCCCGUGGGCACGGUGGUGGAGUUCGGCUGCGAGCCGGGCUACACGCUGGAGCAGGGCUCUGUGAUCAUCGAGUGCGUGGACAUGAGCGACCCGCAGUGGAACGAGACGGAGCCCGCGUGCAGAGCUGUCUGCAGCGGGGAGAUCACAGAUUCAGCUGGAGUGGUUCUCUCUCCCAAUUGGCCAGAAGCCUACGAUAAGGGUCAGGACUGUAUUUGGGGAAUUCACGUCGAGGAAGACAAGAGAAUCAUGUUGGACAUCCGAGUAUUGCAUGUGGGCAAGAAUGACGUGCUGACGUUCUACGAUGGGGAUGACCUCACAGCGAUGAUCCUGGGCCAGUACUCGGGCCACCGCGGCCGCUUCAAACUCUACACCUCCAUGGCAGACGUCACCAUUCAGUUCCAGUCCGACCCGGCCAGCAACGUGUUCGGCUUCCAGAACGGGUUCGUCAUCCACUUCUUUGAGGUCCCGCGGAACGACACGUGUCCAGAGCUCCCCGAGAUCGCCAACGGCUGGAAGACCACGUCGCACCCGGAGCUCAUCCACGGCACGGUGGUGACCUACCAGUGCUACCCAGGCUUCGACGUGGUGGGCACCGAGAUCCUCAUGUGCCAGUGGGACCUGACCUGGAGCGGGGAUCUGCCCAGCUGUGAGAAGGUGACAACCUGCUCGGACCCUGGCGAUGUGGACCACAGCCGGAGAGUGCUGUCCAUGAACAAGUUCAGCGUGGGCUCCACCGUGCAGUACAUCUGCAACAAGGGCUACCAGCUGUCAGGGAACAGCCUCCUCACCUGCUACCCCCACGACUCCAGCGGCCCCAAGUGGAGCGAGAGGCUGCCCAAGUGCAUGCCUGAGACGUACGAGCCCUGCCGGAACCCAGGCGCCCCCUCGUUCAGCAUCCAAACUGCAGAGAAGCGCUUCUACCAGACGGGGGAGACACUGAGGUUCUCCUGCUACAAUGGCUACCAGCUCGUCGGGGAGGCCACCAUCAGGUGCAUCCCUGGACAUCCAUCUCAGUGGAGCAGCCCGCCCCCUGCUUGCAAAGCUUCCAACUCGGAGUAUUUGAAUGAGCGCAGAUUAGAUGUUGCCAAGGAGUCUUCAGACAGCCCCAUGGAGGGGACCAGUAUCGCCAUGACGAUCUUCAUCCCCCUUAUCAUCGUAGCUUUCGUCGUUGUGGGAAUAUACCUCUACUUCUCAAAGGUGCAAAGGAAGUCUCUCCGGCUGCCGCUGCCAAACUCCCACCCGUACAACCACAUCACAGGGGAGUCUGCGUUCGACAAUCCCAUCUAUGAGACUGGAGUGAGUACCGAAUCCAUGCAGAUGAGGGAUGUGGAUUCACAGAACACUAUCGUGCUCACCUGACUGCCCCCUCCCCGCAUCAUCAUCAUCAUCCAUCACCUCCCUCCACCACUGAACAAGACAGUGAGUCCUUCAUACGCACCUGCACCUGGCUGUCUGCUCCCCUCAGCUCUGCAUUUCAAUGUACAAUGCCUGGGGCUGUCUGUCUUGGUGUAUCAUAUUUAAUCUGUAGGCUUGAUGGUGCCUAGAUGACUGUGCAAUAUUACAGAUAAGUCAAGUCAGAUCUGCAGCCUAGCAAUUCAUUUAAAUAUGGAAUUUGAACAGUCAACUGGGUUCUAGUUUUGAUGUACUGCUAAUGAACCCCAAGAGAAAUGUUGAAUUUUUUGCAAUAGAAGAAGCAGCCCAUUGUAUGUGCAUGUUAAUGAAUCCCAUAUAGUGAUCCAUUCAUAGCCCUUUACUCCAUGGAGGGCUGUGCAGUAUUGAGCUGCAGCUCAGAUGCAUUGGAUAUAACCAGCAUUCUUUUCCACUGUCCAGCUUUCGCUCCGUGUGAGUGUCAUGUCUUCAAUAGACACGCAGGUUCUGUGCUGGGGUUGCUUACACUCCAGUAAAAUCCCUUGCUUUGCAGUAGGUGUCAUUUUCCAGUGUUGCAGCUGUGAGUCGAGUCAUCUGGGACUCUCAGACCGCAGCUAUGAGAAAAUGAAGCAAUCAGACACCACAUGCAUCGCCAUAUUCCUAUAGCCAUUAGCUAUUGGGAAUGUGAAGGUACAUUUCAUGUGUCAAAAAACAAACAGCAUAUUAAAUGUUUCAUUUCUUGUGAUAAUGUUUGCAUUCCAUAACCUCGGGGGCCACGUCUACUGAGACGUUUCAUUCCAAUGAGAGUUUGAUCAUUUCUGUUUUAAUUGAUGUGUUUGUUUAUUUACCUUGCUGCUGGGCAAAUGAAGAAUAAUGAGGACACAAGAGAAUACGAAGUUUCCAUUUAGAGACGAGAAGAAAAAAAAAGAAGAAUAAAAAGCCUUUUUGCCUUGUGGAAACUUCUCAGCACCUUUCAAGUGCUCUGCUGUCACCUGACUCCUCUGCUCCCCUCCUCCUGCUCCACAGCCCCUCCCCUCUCCUGUACAUACUGGACUCUUCAGCAUCAGACUAGGACUUCCACAAGCAUUUCCAGGGAGGGGUGCCAGUGAAAUGUUCUGCUUUGGUAGAGGGAGUUUCAAUGGUGGUGUAUAGACACAGAAUCCUGUGUGUGCUUUUGAGUGAGAUCCUGUGAUACAAUAAUACAAUUCUUACCUAAUUAAAGAAUGAUAGACGAUGCCACCACAAGGCAGCAUGGGAUAACCAAUCCAAUGCAACAACUUGACUAAAUCACAAGUGAAUGCAUGCUAUUGAAUUGACUGAGCGUGUUACCCUGUUUGGGACGUUCCCACAAAUUAAAUUAGAAAAGAAAAAUGCGAACACAUCCCAUUCUGCCUUGUGGUCAAACAAUGCUGUUCAUAUCUUCACCCACAUCGCUGCUGAAGUGUCCUGUGUAAUUAAUCCUGCCCCACAAUGACUGCAGAGUGCCAGGUUAGUACAGGGGAUCACUGAACACUGAAAGCACAGCAGAUUCCAGGUUCCAUGUGCGUGGCAGCUGACCCAUCUGGAAUGACAUCACACAGCUUGGUUUUGUUAAUAUAUUUUGGGUCAGAUUGAAGUCUUCCGCACUAUUUAAAAAUAAAAAGAAUACAAAUGAAAUUGCUUUAAAAUGUAUUGCAUCCAUGCACGAACAGCAUUUCUGAGGCUAUUGCUAGAUUUGAAGCAUUGACAGGUUUUGAUGUCAUAGGUUUCAGAGCAAAAGCUUAGCAAAACUGGCUGUUUGAUCAUUCACUUUAGGAGCCAACAGCGCAGGAAAGCAUUUCUCAAGAGUACACCUCAAAAUGAAAGACUGCCAGCUAGAAAGAGUCGAAAGGUCCAAACUUGCUUUUCUACCCAUCUGUUACUUCUACUGUCCCUGUAAAUAAAUGAAUAUUCUGUAUUUUAGAGUUAAUAGCUACAGACCCCACACGUGGAAUAGUCAUGAUUAGUACAAUGUGUAACUCUGUGUUAUCCAGUGUUUAUAUGGUUUAAAGUUGUGCUCACUGGGAUAAGCUCUUUUCAAAGGGGUACCUGCAUGGCGUACGGCUGUCAAGUUAUUUCAAACUCUAUGUGCUUUCCAAAGAUGAAACCGUGAGAAGAAGAUACCUCUACGAUGUCACCACGCUGAACUGAAGUUAUGCGGUCCUGUUUGCGUUCACUAGCCUCUUAACCAAAUGCCAAGUGCAGUAUGAUUUUACACGUGUAUCCGCUGCACACUUGAACUCUGUUGUUUGAUUGGAAAGCUGUAAUGUAUGUACUGUCCUGUCCUAAUUAGGCAUAAGGCACAGCUUAGCACAGCAUGGAUGACAUCGUUUCCAAUCAGAAACAAAAGAUCCAGCCAAAAGGAGGAAUGCAAAAACCUGCAAAGCAUCCAAAUGAAAAUAAAGCAGAAUGGAAAUACGCAUUCCAGAAAGCAUUUCACAUUGAGUUGCAAUGAUAGCCUCCUCAUCAUCAGCAACACAGUAAGAGAUGAGUGCUCAGGAGAGGGUGAUUAGACGUGUGUUAAGGAGAGGGUGAUUAGACGUGUGUUAAGGAGAGGGUGAUUAGACGUGUGCUCAGGAGAGGGUGAUUAGACGUGUGUUAAGGAGAGGGUGAUUAGACGUGUGCUCAGGAGAGGGUGAUUAGACGUGUGCUCAGGAGAGGGUGAUUAGUCCUCUCAGGUUGCAAUGCUGGAUUCUGUCAGGCCUGAGACACAGCUCAGAGUGUGUUCCACUGAUGAGUGUGAUUGUCCCAGCACAGCUGAUUCAGUGGACAAUGCAACAGGAUUAGCAGGGUUUGGAGGCAGCGCUAGUCAGUGUGAUGAAGAGAAUCUCCAGGAACACAGAGCUGUAUUCAAAUUGAAAGAAGGAGGGGGCUGAGUGAGAGGGCUGCUGGCAACACAGGGAGAGAGAGAGAGUGAAUAGGAAGCAAUCAGGAUAAACGCUUCAGCACAGGCAAGUUAGACCAGUUAGAGGCAUGAAAGGAGUGACUCCUGUAGAGAGGAGGGCUUGGGAAGACUCAGAAUCAAGGGCAGUGUUAACAAGCCAAACUUUUAAAAUCAAGAGAAUCUUACAACCAGUAAAAGUUAUUAUGAGUAUGAAACAUAUAUAUAUAUAUAUAUAUAUAUAUAUAUAUAUAUAUAUAUAUAUAUAUAUAUAUAUAUAUUAAAAAGACGUUUGUUAACAAUUUAAGGACCCAGCCUUUAAGGCAACUAAGUCUGUGCAAUUAUUAUUAUUAUUAUUAUUAUUAUUAUUAUUAUUAUUAUUAUUAUUAUUAGUGCGGGUCAUGCAAGAUGCACAUACGCACCUGACAGGUUAUUGGGAGUCAUGCUAUGGCAGGUAACACAAAUCUAAUUUAUGUGUAACUGGUCAAACCAAGCGUUAAAAGGUUUCGAGUAUCUCUCCAGUAUUCAUGUCUCUGUAAUUUCAGAUCUCGUGUAAGAUAUUGCCUGUCACUGCAGUCUCUUUGUGUACGAUUCCGUCUGUGUUGUGUUUUCACAUCAUGCUUGUGUUCACAGUUCAAUAAGCAAAGGGGAAUAUUAAUCAGCAGUCUGAACUUUCGGUUUUUGAUCGUGAUUACUUUGAAUGUAAUGGACAGGUGUCACCACCCGUGGGGCAAUGCAUUGGAUUUUGGUUAAUGAAUAAAUAAAAACUGGCAGGUAUGUGAGGUAUUCUGAGCGUAAUUAAAGGUUUGGGGGAUUUUUGUUUUAUUUAUUUAAAAGGUUGGGGUAGAAAAUAUAGACCCCUACUGUAUAUGCAGCAUGAUCACAAUAUUCCGUUGUCGUCCGUCUGUUCACAGGCAAAUUGUAUGUAGACAAUACCAGGAACAUUUCAAAGGCCAGCGUUGUUCUGUUCUGAAUAAAUGCUAUUGUAAAAUGUGAUGUAUAUUUCAAUAUUCAGUUUCUUUAUUUGUAGCUUCAAAACUAAAAGCAGAAUAUAUGUUUUCAAAAGGUAUUGUAAAAUAUAUUUUUUAAGAAUGUUCUGAUAACACGUUUACUUUUUGGACAACAUUAAAAAUGUCUUAGUUUAUUUGAAACCUCUUGAGUGUUAGCGGGACCUCAAGGUCCGGGUAUGUUAACUCAUGCCGUUGGAAAUCACGGUGGAACCUUACGGGACUCCGCGGUUCCAGUCUGAGGUCGUGUGAAAUAUAUAAAAAAAAACAAAAAAACAAAACAAAACGUGUUCCUCUCAUGUAUACUCAAUAAAGGAAUGUAUUCUCCAUCUCGACAAAAAUAAUUCAGGACUGAAAGGGUUCAAGUAUAUUCAGAAAUUCAAGGUAGAGAUUCACUGCUUGUUAAAUACGGCAAAGUUGUUACAAACUAUAAUAUUUGACACCAUGUGGAUACUCUGCUUCACACUGUUAUCUUUUUUUUUUUUGCCCAGAUCACACAAACCAUAUGUAGCAACCACCCAGUUGUGAUAAUUCUGUCUUCUAGGUUUUGAUUCAUUGUUCAAUGUAAUAAUAAUCCAUGCAUAUCUUAAAUAAAAAGUUUUGGUUCUUCGAAAAACUU